GGCUUUCAUAUUGUGUACCAGUAACAAAACCUGAAAGAUUCAAUCAAAACCUUUUGUAAAUCAAGCUGUUUUCAUUCCCUAUGCCGUCCAGGUAAAAAUAUUCGUCCAGACUAUGAUCAAAUUUCCUGUCAGAAAUAAUCUGGAAAACGUUCCAGCCCUAAUUAAUGAGGAGUACUUAGACCAUUGUGAUUUACUGGCGAUAUGCCCUUUUCAGGUUACCGUAAGAUAGCCAUAAUCUUUACAUAAGGCGUURGAUUCUUGAUGAUAAUGAGCUCUGAGUGGGUAAGAUUGAUCGAUAAGACACACUUAUUCCUCAUCUACGAUCGAGCAAUAAUUCWGUGAGAAAAUCGAAGUCGUUUUCUAUCGUUUGGUUGCCAAUAAAACAGACAAGAAACUAAUAGUGACCAAUUGUGAGUUAGAUAUGAGACUCAAUGUUUUUGGCGCUCUUUAUCAGCCAGCACUUAUAGUCUUCUUUUUUUCACAGACACAACGGAAGACCCACUUUGAUAAAGUCAUGUUUUGCGGUAUUUGAUAAAAUACCUCAAGGAUAAAAAGAACAGUACCGAAAAACGCUACGAAAUCGCAUCAUAGUGAACGAGACCUAAUAAGCCAGACACUGUUGUUGCAGACGAAAAUCAGGCGUUUGAUAACCAUUAUGUACUCAUUACUUAAACCAUCUUUGCAAGGGAGGGACCCAAUGAAACAAGGCAUCGUUGUACACUAGCCAAUAGCAAAGCUGAUUUCUCAUGACGUCAUGGUCACGUGGUAUGGUGGCUUAUAAGUUGUGUAUAACCUAUAUCCUCAUUUAAUAGCAGCACUCUUUAUUAGAUCCACCCACAACUACUGACCCACAACUACUGUGGGACCUCAGGGUAGAGAUAAGGGUGUUGUACAUGAUCAGUGCUGAGAUUCACAUGAAUAUGGUUCAUCCAAAUGCAAGACAUAAGCUUCAAAGUGGGUUAAUAUGGUCUUAAAUAAGUACGUUUAGUGUUGGAUUCAUGGAAGACUAUCACUAAUCAACCCAUUUAACCUCAGAUCUUCCUACUGAAAUGGUGAUAAAUGUCACAGAAAUGAGUGUCAAUGAGAGUUCAAUUUAUCCUGCUUCGCUAUGGUCAAAACUAGUACACUAAAGACGUCUAACUAUACUAGAAAAACCUAAUAUGCUCAAYAACCUGCAAUCUUCAAAGAAAACAAUUAUUUGGUGUCGCUCUCUGGGAUCACACCACGGAAAACAUUGUGCCUUUUGGGGGUAAAUGGUCAAGUUCAACAGAAAAUGCUUUUUUGUCGAGAAAUAUCGCAGUUUACAUUUGAAUACAGAAAGUUCUUGUGUCGAAAAUGGAAGUUCUACAAGUUAAAAUUUUAUCUUUGCUCAACUUCAAGAAUGAUUUGUGCAUAUAUAUAAGGAGUGUCUUGUUAAGAAGUGCCUGUGCCUGGAGGAGAGCUAUUUUAAAGUAAUGAUGGUGAUCAAUAAUGGGAGAAUAGUACGUUCUUUGGACCAUUAACAUUGAUAUUCAUAUUAGGACAUGUACAGAUACACAAUUUUUAAGUUCAAAGCUCAAAACGACAUCGCACUAGUUACACCAACAAACAACUUCUAGAGUUGGAAAAAGAGUUCCAUUUUAGUCGCUACCUUUGUACAACACGACGUAGAGAAAUCUCCAAGACGCUCGAUCUCUC